UACGGGGGGAGCAAGCGUUGUUCGGAUUUACUGGGCGUAAAGGGCGCGUAGGCGGUCAGCACAAGUCAGUUGUGAAAUCUCCGGGCUUAACUCGGAAAGGUCAACUGAUACUGUGCGACUAGAGUGCAGAAGGGGCAACUGGAAUUCUCGGUGUAGCGGUGAAAUGCGUAGAUAUCGAGAGGAACACCUGCGGCGAAGGCGGGUUGCUGGGCUGACACUGAUGCUGAGGCGCGAAAGCCAGGGGAGCGAACGGG
rnacentral:rRNA from 1 species